rnacentral:rRNA from 1 species
AGUGAACGCUGGCGGUAGGCCUAACACAUGCAAGUCGAACGGCAGCACAGUAAGAGCUUGCUCUUACGGGUGACGAGUGGCGGACGGGUGAGGAAUACAUCGGAAUCUACUUUUUCGUGGGGGAUAACGUAGGGAAACUUACGCUAAUACCGCAUACGACCUACGGGUGAAAGCAGGGGAUCUUCGGACCUUGCGCGAUUGAAUGAGCCGAUGUCGGAUUAGCUAGUUGGCGGGGUAAAGGCCCACCAAGGCGACGAUCCGUAGCUGGUCUGAGAGGAUGAUCAGCCACACUGGAACUGAGACACGGUCCAGACUCCUACGGGAGGCAGCAGUGGGGAAUAUUGGACAAAGGGCGCAAGCCUGAUCCAGCCAUACCGCGUGGGUGAAGAAGGCCUUCGGGUUGUAAAGCCCUUUUGUUGGGAAAGAAAAGCAGCAGGUUAAUACCCCGCUGUUCUGACGGUACCCAAAGAAUAAGCACCGGCUAACUUCAUG